CGAAAGCGUGGGGAGCAAAUAGGAUUAGAUACCCUAGUAGUCCACGCCGUAAACGAUGAGAACUAGGUGUUGGGGGAAUAACUCAGUGCCGCAGUUAACGCAAUAAGUUCUCCGCCUGGGGAGUAUGCACGCAAGUGUGAAACUCAAAGGAAUUGACGGGGGCCCGCACAAGCGGUGGAGUAUGUGGUUUAAUUCGAAGCAACGCGAAGAACCUUACCAGGCCUUGACAUCCCUUGCAGAGGUAUAGAGAUAUAUCCGAGGUUAUCAAGGAGACAGGUGGUGCAUGGUUGUCGUCAGCUCGUGUCGUGAGAUGUUGGGUUAAGUCCCGCAACGAGCGCAACCCUUGUGAUAUGUUACUAACAUUGAGUUGAGGACUCAUAUCAGACUGCCGGUGAUAAACCGGAGGAAGGUGGGGAUGACGUCAAAUCAUCAUGCCCCUUAUGGCCUGGGCUACACACGUACUACAAUGGCGUCUACAAAGAGCGGCAAGCCUGUGAAGGCAAGCGAAUCUCAUAAAGGACGUCUCAGUUCGGAUUGAAGUCUGCAACCCGACUUCAUGAAGCUGGAAUCGCUAGUAAUCGCGAAUCAGCAUGUCGCGGUGAAUACGUUCUCGGGCCUUGUACACACCGCCCGUCACACCAUGAGAGUCGGUAACACCCGAAGCCGGUGGCCUAACCGCAAGGAAGGAGCUGUCUAAGGUGGGACUGAUGAUUGGGGUGAAGUCGUAACAAGGUAUCCCUACGGGAACGUGGGGAUG
rnacentral:rRNA from 1 species